GAGCAAGUCACUUCUCAUAUGAUUUUAACUUCAAAAAGGGAAAGAUUGAGAAACAUUCCUUAUACUUGAAUAAUAUAAAAGCAAUAUGAAUGGAAGAGUAACGUGCUCCUCAUAAGGAACUGGAAUGAAGAAAUAAAGAUUAAUCAAACAAAAAGCAAGUUCAAUGAAAAAAUAAACUAAUAGCACUAAAAUAAAAACACCAGUACGAAAAAAUUCAUCAUCAAAAAAUCCCAAGGUACUUGGAAAAAAAAAGUAAUUAAGCAAAAGCGAAACUGGUUGAGAAAACAGAAUAUUAUCAACUCUACCAAUAUGAACAUUGUCUAAAUCCGAUGUGAGUAACACUGAAUAGAAGAGAUAUUGGAAUGAUUUAACCCGUUAACCACUUGAUUGUAUUUUUUGAUUGUAGUGAGGACGAUUGUAUUUUUUUUAAAUUUUGUUUUGGGAAACUUCUUACUCGUUAAAUUAAAGGCAAUUUUGGAACAAACCAAACAGAUUAAAGUUACUUACACUUACCAUAAAUAAUGAAAAACACAUGAAUUGAAGAAAAGCCCACAUAGCUUCAUUAUCGUUUCGUAAUACAAAGAAAUUUGGCUUUAAUAAUUUUAAAUACUAAUACUAGCGUAGAAUAACUAAAUGAAUUUUAAGAAAAAAACUUCAAUGCAGGCCCCACUGCAUAAUUAUUGUGCGACGUAAUUUCAUGAAUAAUAAAUAGAUGCAUAUGAUUUUAAGAUGACUGAAGAAUACCCAGCAGAAGGACUGUGCAUGAAUUUAGGUGUUAAACACUAAAUUAUAUAAACAACAGAUGCGAUAAAAAGGAUUAAAUUUCACAGAAGAAAUAUCAUCACCGAGGAGGCUCAAGUAUACGUAAAGUAAUCAAUAUUACAAACGAAACCAGAGAUUGUAACAAAAACUGGAACAAAAGUAAAAUGUCACUUCAGCUAUAAAUUAAUUAUAUUACCCAUUAAAUAUUGUUAAGACUUCAUAAUCGAAAUCAGGAUUUGUAAUAAAAAAGAAACUGGAACAUAACUAAUGAAUGGCUCUAUGCUGUAAAAUAAUGAGGCCUAAGAAAUGUUUCUGAGAUUUAGUAAUCAAAUGUAAUAAACGAAGCUCCUGCGGGACCAUUUGGAUUUCAUGCAGACAUCUUUGAUUUUUGAAAUAUUUCCUAAUGGAUAGAGCAAUUACACAAGUUUCGGAUGCUAUUUAAAAUAUACUGGUGCUUGGAGCUCAAAUAAAUGAAUUCCUUAUUUUGCUUGAUAUUCCCGGUGCAUAAGGACUUUAAAUUUUAAUAUAAAUGACAAAAAAACAACAAGCAAAUUUUAUAUACCAAGAGCAUAUCACGUAGUAGGUGUUCAACCCCCAGUUUUUAACCAUUGAAUAUUAAAAAAAAAAAGAAGUAAAAAUUUUUUGGAAGUAAAAUGUUAAUGGCUCUAAAGAUGAGAUGAAGUUUUUUAAUAUUCCAGAACACUCGAACUGACUUCAAAUAUGGACUCAUCCUUUUACGACUAGUCAACUAUUUUAGAGCGACAUUGAAUAUGUUUUCAGACAUACUGAAAAAAUAAAUAAAUAAAUAAAUAAAUAAAUAAAUAAAUAAAUGGUUAAUUUCAAGUUACAUAACAUUUUUCGUUAAUAAACAACUUUGAGAACGACUUCAAAUUGGACUCAGGUAGAAGACAUAGAUUGCUAUAUUUUGGUAUAUACAACUGCGAAUAUCAUAUAAUGCGAUUGUGAAGGCACUUUGUGAAGAAUUUUAGAAUUUGACGCAUAAUUCUUAGCAUUUCUUUCUCGAUCUCAAGGAAAUUCAAUUGGAUUCAACCAGUUUGCAGUCACCAAAUAAGCUCGCAAAUGCAGAAAUCUUGACACCUUUACCAGACCCAGGAACUACCAAAGAUAUUAAAAUAUAAUCGAGUAACGCAGUGGAAAGGAAAAUUCAUAAAAGAUGAUAUUAUUAUUUCUGGCACAACAAGUUAACGAUGGUGGCUGUUUCUUCAGAACUGGAAUAAAGAGUAAAAUGAAAAGGAUCGCAGACUUCAUUUACCCAAUUAAACCACAGUUUUACCGCACCAAAUAAUGUAGUAAUCCAUCACUAAAGCACUUGAUAUGAUAAGGUACUUUCGUGCAAAAUACCGAAUAUGAUUCCGCUAAAACUGGUUGAAACAAGGCUCACUUUCUCCUCUAAAACUAAAUUCUUGGAAUUAAUCACGGACCUUAAGGAAAACUGGAGGUGCAACAUCAAGGAGCGAAUAAAGAAAGUAAUUACUGUGCUUUUCUCGUGCAAGAGAGCCAUCGGGAAGGAGUGGUGACUUAAGCCAUGCAUGGUUUAUUGGUUUUAUCUGCGGUAGUCAAACCUGUACUCAUCUAGAGUGUUCUGGUAUGGGGACCUGCCCUGGGUAAAUUAAUCAAUCUAAAACUAACAAGCAAAGUUCAAAAUGGCAUUGAUGUACAUGAGGGGAACAUUCAAUUUCUACACAGGCCCUUGAAACGCUUUUCCACCUGAUAUUCUAGGGAAACAGAUUGCGGUGGGAUCGGCUGUGCGUUUAAAAUCUGCAUUACAGUGGUUCGAGGUUUUAAAUGGCUGGUGGUAAAGUAUACGUGUAUCUGCAUUUUCACAGACAAAUAGGUCGAGUCGAAAAAAAGGAAUUCUAAUUGCUCUGGAGAAUCUACCCUUUUCGGAUUUUGAUAAAAUCAAAUUAUUGUAUUUUAUUGGUCUAUUUGAUUGUUUUCUUGAGAUACGGAUACUAUCAAAGAAAAAAUGAAUUAUAGAAGAAGUAAUCUCAAAUAUCGAAAAUACAGUGAAGCAAAACAAAAUGAAGUUUGGAUAAAGUUCAAGAAAAGGAAAUUUUUAGGAAAAUGAAGUGUGACUAAUUAUUGGAUUUUACAUAUAUGAUUACAAUUUGAAGAGGAGAAGACUGUGAAAUGGCGCUUUUAGUAAAUAAAUUAGAAAAAUAACUCGAGACUCAAACGGAUAAAAAUAUUUUAUUAAGGAAUUUCACAUUUGAAGUCAAGUCGUACGGAAAUCAAAACAAAGCAAUGUUUCUUAUAAGGAUUCCUGAAUUUCGUACAAAUACGUCAUGUUGAAAUAAAUGAAUUUUGGGACACUGUUUAUAAUGGAUUAUUUUUCAAGAUGAUGAGAUGCUGUUCUGUGAUUAUAAAUUAGACGUAUUAAAAAUAAUAGAAACAAAUAAUGCAAAAAGCUGAAUUACGACUAAAAUCUAUUAAUUUUUAAAAGUCAAAGAGCAGUAGUUUAGAAUGAAAAUCAAAAACUUCUAGCUUUAGCUAAAGAUUCGGAAUCAGAGCCAGAGCCAUAUAGCUCUUGCUUGAGUGAAAGGGUCUGAUUAAAGAGUAGUUGGUUCUGGGCUGAAAAGUUAAGAGUUUUGCACAAAGUAGAAAAGAAGAAGAAGAAAAACAAAGAUGAAACGAAAACUUAGUAGGCGCUAACACAAAAGGAGUCGAAACCGGACUUCGUAAAAUUUGAGAACCUUAGAAUACUUUCAUUUCAAUUAUAAAUUACUAUAAUUCGAGCAUUAAGUGAGCCAAUGAUUUUCUGAAGAGCAAUACAAAUACA